rnacentral:rRNA from 1 species
CGACUCUCGGCAACGGAUAUCUCGGCUCUCGCAUCGAUGAAGAACGUAGCGAAAUGCGAUACUUGGUGUGAAUUGCAGAAUCCCGUGAACCAUCGAGUCUUUGAACGCAAGUUGCGCCCGAAACCACUCGGUUGAGGGCACGUCUGCCUGGGYGUCACGC